rnacentral:rRNA from 1 species
GUCGAGCGGAUGAAGAGAGCUUGCUCUCUGAUUCAGCGGCGGACGGGUGAGUAAUGCCUAGGAAUCUGCCUGAUAGUGGGGGACAACGUUUCGAAAGGAACGCUAAUACCGCAUACGUCCUACGGGAGAAAGCAGGGGACCUUCGGGCCUUGCGCUAUCAGAUGAGCCUAGGUCGGAUUAGCUAGUUGGUGAGGUAAUGGCUCACCAAGGCGACGAUCCGUAACUGGUCUGAGAGGAUGAUCAGUCACACUGGAACUGAGACACGGUCCAGACUCCUACGGGAGGCAGCAGUGGGGAAUAUUGGACAAUGGGCGAAAGCCUGAUCCAGCCAUGCCGCGUGUGUGAAGAAGGUCUUCGGAUUGUAAAGCACUUUAAGUUGGGAGGAAGGGCAUUAACCUAAUACGUUAGUGUUUUGACGUUACCGACAGAAUAAGCACCGGCUAACUUCGUGCCAGCAGCCGCGGUAAUACGAAGGGUGCAAGCGUUAAUCGGAAUUACUGGGCGUAAAGCGCGCGUAGGUGGUUUGUUAAGUUGAAUGUGAAAGCCCCGGGCUCAACCUGGGAACUGCAUCCAAAACUGGCAAGCUAGAGUAUGGCAGAGGGUGGUGGAAUUUCCUGUGUAGCGGUGAAAUGCGUAGAUAUAGGAAGGAACACCAGUGGCGAAGGCGACCACCUGGGCUAAUACUGACACUGAGGUGCGAAAGCGUGG